rnacentral:rRNA from 1 species
GCGAGGCCGAAAGGCGUAGUCGAUGGGAAACAGGUUAAUAUUCCUGUACUUGGUGUUACUGCGAAGGGGGGACGGAGAAGGCUAUGUUAGCCGGGCGACGGUUGUCCCGGUUUAAGCAUGUAGGCUGGUUGUCCAGGCAAAUCCGGAUAAUCAAGGCUGAGGUGUGAUGACGAGGCACUACGGUGCUGAAGUAACAAAUGCCCUGCUUCCAGGAAAAGCCUCUAAGCAUCAGGUAACAUCAAAUCGUACCCCAAA